AAAGAAUUUAAAGAGUGCACUUCAUUGUGGCUCGACAUUUUCUACCAUUCACCCUAGUGCACUGUAAUACCCUUUUUUAUUAGACUCUACAAAGUUAUUGAAUGUAACACUUUUUUAUAAAGAAAUAAAACUUUUAACAACGGAUCUCUUGGCUCUCGCAACGAUGAAGAACGCAGCGAAAUGCGAUAAGUAAUGUGAAUUGCAGAAUUCAGUGAAUCAUCAAAUCUUUGAACGCACCUUGCGCCCUUUGGUAUUCCGAAGGGCACACCUGUUUGAGUGUCAUUAAUCUCUCAACCCUAACAUUUUUUUAUUAGAAUGGUAGUGGCUGGAUGUUGAGCGUUGCUGGACCUUUUUUGGUUCAGCUCGCUUUAAAAUUAUGAGCAGGCUCCUACCAUUUCGGACUGACUCAACGUGAUAAGAAAUUUCGUUGAGGACGCUUUACAGCGGCCGAAUUGUAGGGAAAUGCCGCUGCUAGUUGACCCUUAUAUUUUAGACCUCAAAUCAGGUGGGACUACCCGCUGAACUUAA
rnacentral:rRNA from 1 species